rnacentral:tRNA from 1 species
AGAAAUGUGGCUCAGUGGCAGAGUGCUUGCCUAGCAUGCAUGAGUCCCUGGGUUCAAUUCCCCAGUGCUA